rnacentral:lncRNA from 1 species
AAGAACAGACGAACAAUUUGCACUCUGAUGGGAAAUAAUUAACAACGCCUGUCAGAAUCGGCGAAGAACACAAUCUCUGAAAGAAAAUCCGUCUGGAACGGAGAAAACUCGGCUUGAACCCCAAAACAGCAACGUCGACCCGGAUACCAAAAUAAAUGGUAACACAGGGAUAACCAUGGCCUGAACACCACCCAUCCGCUCGGGAUUAUUAUUCUCUUCUCUCCCUUUUAUGCUUCUCUUGAACCCCGAAAUUUUCUCUU